CUCUCUUCAAGUUCUGCCAGGGCAGAGACAGUUUUAUGUUGGGCUGUUCUCCAUUCAAUUGCUACAAGGUAUGGCAGGGAUUCCCGUAGACACUCACACAUGUCCCCCCAAAGAGGGGGUAGCGGUGGAGUAUUGUUCCUUGAUUCUUUUCAGAGAGUGCUCCUGCAAAAAGCAACAGCUUUGGAAUAGCCAGGAAGACAGGGAUAGCCACCACCACACCACAUUAUGACAUAUUAACGGGGCCAUUUGAACCCCCACCACAGACGUUAGUAUUUUUCCUGCCCAUCUCUCACUGACUUGUAAAACUGCUGUUUACAGGUAGUCAUUGCUGCUAGUUCUUUCUAUAAUUAACACAGACGCUCAAGGGCGUUCUGGGGUCAUGUAAAUAUCAAUAUAGAGAGGAUGCCAGGUUUCUCGACAGCAACUCUGUAAAUGGGCAGUCCUCUACAGAGAUGGAGCUUCAUUUGUGUCACUCGGACUCGAGUAUUUCUAGCCUGUGAGUUUUUGUCUAAAUUCACCAAUCUGAAUUUAGGAGCCAGGAUCCACAGCCGUCUGUGACCUCCUCACCACUGUGUUAUACCCAACCUCCGCGCCUGGCCACUGUGUUGAACUCCUGCUACCGUUCUCUUUGUGUUCAUUUUAACCUGUCUUUUUGGUCACCUUGAAUAAAUACUCCUUUCAGGAAUCAAGAGGGAGGUUCAGACUUAGACUUCAUAUUCAUCUCUUAAAGGCGAUUCUGUUUUAUCAUUAAAAAAUUAAGACCACUCCCCAAAUUUAGCAUGUGACUUUUUAAAGGCUCAAACGAUUCCUUUAGAGGUCUAAGGCUUCAGAUAUCCAUGGCUGUCAAAUUUCAGGAUGGCAGCAAUACGGUGUCAGAAAGGACAUUGCCAAUUGUUGAGCCGAGGUCACAUUCCUAAAGACCCUUUCCAUCCUGUCCAAUGAAACGCAGGUUGAUGCUGCUUGAAAUCCCCCUUCUACAGUUACCAAAAUUGGCGAAAUGAAUUCCACGUAGGGAGUGCUUCUGUGGCCUUGCCUCUUAGAAAAGGUCUUGAAUGGGCUCUUGGGUUUAAAUUUAGAGACCUGCCUGUGCACUGCUUGUCAAAAGUUAUCAUUACUCUUAAGGGGGGGGGGGGGGUCCCUGACACUCUGUUCUGCUAGCCACAUAUUGUGUGUGUGUGUGUAUGUGUGUGUGUAUAUGUAUACAUGUAUAUAUACAUAUAUAUAUUUAUGAUUUUGCAUCUAGACUCACACUCACGCUCAUGAGGGGAUCAAAAGGCCAACAAAAGGCAUCAGGAUAGAACCCCCACAGCUUCUACAAGAGGGGGGCAGCCCUGCUUUUGCCUCUCCAGCUCGGAAUCCAGGCCACCUGCGCUGUCCUCAGGUGAGCUGUUGAGGAGGGGAUGCCGGGCUCUGCUGGCAGCUUUCCGAACAACGAACGAAGCACUUUGACCUUGGCCGCCAUUUCGCUCGUUCUUUUCCUUCACAUCACACCUGCUGCCACAGAUCCCGUACACCUGAUACCAGAUGUGGUCAAAAGGAAAAGAAAAGGGAAAACCUCGCGCGCUCUAAUUCCCUUUGGUAAGGAGCCCAGGCCGCCAAAUCCAUUACAUAAUUCCAGCUCAGGCUGACACCUGUGCCCGCACUGGAGCGGGGUCGGGUUGCAGAGCCUGUGCUGGGGACCCUGGCUUGGUAGUACCGUCGCCAAAAGCAAGCGGUGGCUGAACAAAGUUUGGGCUGGAGGUGGGUUCUCUUUCGUGAUUAAGGUUGGACUGGAUCCUGGACUUGAUGUUUCAAGGACCCUGGUCCCCCAAAUGUAGGGUUAUGAAACUUAAAAAUGAUGUUUCAAAGGCCCGGAAUGCUACUCGAGCGGUGUUCGAAGCCCCCUGGGUGUUCCAGCUUCGGCGAGCUUCGGGAGUGCCCCCUCCUAUUUUCAAGAAAAGUGGACUUUUCAUCCGCUGCGGGACUUCUCCCGAGAUCUCUAAUCUGCCCCCUCCGGCCCACCCCGGAUACUAUUGACGUGCGCCUUGUUGGUGCUCACGGCCUAGCACAUAGACGUAGUCAGUAGCCCCGCUGGGGCUCUCCUCUCUCCUGAAGGCGGGACAAUACUUCACUAAAGUACCGGCUGCUACCGAGGAGCCCAACAGAAACCUACUCCCACCACAAACGCGCAUCGCUUCUUGACCGCCGCCGGGGCCAGCCGUCCACGGGGAAGACAAGAGAAACGUCGUCGCGUCAAUUUCUUUCUUCUACUAAUUUCAAAGACCUCUGGGAAUGUCCUUUGUACUCUACGCCCUAAAUAAAUAUCCUCCCUGUACAUUCGUGUGCGCCUAGAACAGUGUAGAUCUGCGCAGCGCCAGGCGCUCUAGAACGUCUCCCUAAGGAUCAGGAUGCUGGCGGGGUCGGACAACACGCCGCCCAGUCUGCGAGAGCUAGGGAGCAACGCCAGCCCCGCAGAACCUGCGUUCUCCAAGAAGCAAGCCCCACCCAACAAAAGUUAAAGCAGGAUGGCACUAUACCUUGCCCCGGGUUACUCUGGCGCCUGUCUCCCAGUUUGGACAUGCUGGAAGUGUUGGGUUUUGGGAAGUUUGCUUUGGCUGGGUGUGAGUUGUCUAUAUAAGCCCUGCUGCAAGUACUGUACGGUGGAACCCGCCUUGAUGGACUCGGGUGUUAAUUAACGCGAGGCUAAUUUGAGCUCUAGGAGCCAGAGGCGGCAGGUCGAGAGGCGAGCCGCGAGGGGCCAGUGACCUCUAGUGGACAAGAGGGGAUAUGCAGCGCGAGGGAGCCGGCGCGCCAGCCUGGGUGGAAGAGAGAAAACCGAGCUGCAGCUCCGAAUUCCUCCCAAUCUAACGUCAGCGGGCAACACAAGCGCACGAUUUAAGGGCAAAGAGCUGUCAGCAAGGGAUGUAGCCUUAGCUCUUCUGAAGCAUCUAAAACUUAAGUGAAUACAGUGCGCGCACACACACACACACACACACACACACACACACACACACUCGCCUUCACCCUUCUUUAAGGAAAACCAUAGGAUGUAUGCAGAAAGGGCUUGGAAAGUGAGUAUUAAAGUGUUAGAGAAAGUUCACCACAUCUGGUCUUGCUUUCAGAGAGUACUCCGGAAAGCUUCACCGGCUCAACCAGAGAAAGCAAAAGAAGGAACGACUGUUGUUUUUUUUUUUCUCUAAGUUCAUAUUCCUCAACCAAGCAAGGCUGGACAAGAUGGGAGCAACUGAAACACAAAACAGUGUCUUAACUUAAAAAUGAUUUUCACAAUGAUCGGUUUCGCUCUCUCCCCUGUCUUUCACCAGUUAGUCGACUAGCGCCGAAGUUGUUUUGGCAAAGAUUGUCCUGGGACUGCACAAGUUAAAAGCAAACCUUGAUAAUUCAGACCGAACUCUUGUUAAAAAACAAAAAACCUCUAAAUAAAUGAACUUUCCAUUUUG